rnacentral:rRNA from 1 species
UACGAAGGGGGCUAGCGUUGCUCGGAAUCACUGGGCGUAAAGCGCACGUAGGCGGAUUGCUAAGUCAGGGGUGAAAUCCUGGAGCUCAACUCCAGAACUGCCUUUGAUACUGGCGACCUUGAGUCCGGGAGAGGUGAGUGGAACUGCGAGUGUAGAGGUGAAAUUCGUAGAUAUUCGCAAAGAACACCAGUGGCGAAGGCGGCUCACUGGCCCGAUACUGACGCUGAGGUGCGAAAGCGUGGGGAGCAAACAGG